rnacentral:rRNA from 1 species
GGAAUUUUUCGCAAUGGGGGAAACCCUGACGAAGCAACGCCGCGUGGAGGAUGAAGGCCUUCGGGUCGUAAACUCCUGUCGACCGGGACGAACGUAGUCUGGCCCAAUACGCCGGGCUAUCGACUGUACCGGUGGAGGAAGCCCCGGCUAACGCUGUGCCACCCGCCGCGGUAAUACAGAGGGGGCAAGCGUUGUUCGGAAUUACUGGGCGUAAAGGGCGCGUAGGCGGUCUUGCAAGUCCCGUGUGAGAUCCCUCGGCUCAACUGAGGAACUGCACGGGAAACUGCUUGGCUUGAGUUCGGGAGAGGGAAGCGGAAUUCCGGGUGUAGCGGUGAAAUGCGUAGAUAUCCGGAGGAACACCGGUGGCGAAGGCGGCUUCCUGGACCGACACUGACGCUGAGGCGCGAAAGCUAGGGGAGCAAA